GAUGAAGAACGCAGCGAAAUGCGAUAAGUAAUGUGAAUUGCAGAAUUCAGUGAAUCAUCGAAUCUUUGAACGCACCUUGCACCCUUUGGACUGCUCCAAAGGGUAUGCUCGUUUGAGUGUCAUUGUACUCUCACACUCUCUGAUCCUUUGGAUUUGGGGAGCAGUGGACUUGGGUGCUUGCUGCUUCCUUGUGGCUCACCUGAAAUGCAUCAGUGCAUCUCUCGAUUGGACAUAGUACGGCGUGAUAAGUGUCUUCGCCGGCACCUCAUAUGAGGGUGGCCGAUCGGGAGCUCUGUGCUUUCAAACCGUCUUCGGACAACGCUGACAACUUGACCUCAAAUCGAGUAGGACUACCCGCUGAACUUAAGCAUAUCAAAAGCGGAGGA
rnacentral:misc_RNA from 1 species